CUUGUAAACAUUGUUCUUAUAAGUCCUAAAAAUGGCAAUGACCAAGACGUUUCCCGGAAUUCCUAUAAUUGUAAGUAUGAGGAGAUAUAUCAGUGGUGCCAAAAGUUUAAUCCUUACUUCAUUGUUCAAUUCUUCCAAAGUUCUUGUUGUAUCAUUUUCCAUUGAUGCCAACAAUGUCCUUUUCAUAUAAUGAAUCAAAGAAACCGACACGUUCUUAAAUAUUUUUCACCAUUUGCUUCACCACAAGUAAAAUGAAGCAAAU
rnacentral:lncRNA from 1 species